rnacentral:rRNA from 1 species
AGAACGAACGCUGGCGGCAUGCCUAAUACAUGCAAGUCGAACGAACACUUCGGUGUUAGUGGCGCACGGGUGCGUAACGCGUGGGAAUCUGCCCUUGGGUUCGGAAUAACAGUUGGAAACGACUGCUAAUACCGGAUGAUGACGAAAGUCCAAAGAUUUAUCGCCCAGGGAUGAGCCCGCGUAGGAUUAGCUAGUUGGUGAGGUAAAGGCUCACCAAGGCGACGAUCCUUAGCUGGUCUGAGAGGAUGAUCAGCCACACUGGGACUGAGACACGGCCCAGACCUCCUACGGGGAGGCAGCAGGUGGGGAAUA